GAGUCAAAUAUGUUAAUAAAUGAGCGUUAGCGCUAAAACUAAAAUUAUCCCUUGGAUCAACUAGUGUAAUAUAUAUUGAACCAACAUAAAUAAUACAUUAGUUUAGGGGUUAAAGUGUAAAAAUAGAAACUUGUAACUUAAUCUCAAUUAUUCGGUUAUCAAUGUAUAUAUAGGUUAGCUUCUUCAUUUUAGAAUAGAUCGGUUCCUUCUUCUUCACAGUUAUAUUGAAAUGGCUCCACUUUGAGCUCAUCUCUCUUUCCCUCAUUUGUUCUUCUAGAACCAUCCAGCUACUUGCAUGCAUCCUUACUCUUGUUAGUUAACUGCUCAAUAUGGUAUCAGAGCUUUCCGAUUGAGCUCCGGCGACUGGUUUUGAUCUCCGAUUCAGUGUUCUUAUUCAUCGACACACUCAAUUUCAGAGCUAGGGUUUGUUAUUUUCUUCUCAACUCAGAGUAUAAUUGCAAUUGAAGAAGCAACGAAUGAAGAUGCAGUGCUAAGUCACAAUCAUCCUCUGUAUUUGCAACCUUCGGAUUCGUCAGGUGAACAUCUGAUUGAUUUCAAACUGUUAGGCACUGAAAAUUACAAUUUGUGGUGUCGAUCCAUGAGAAUUGGACUUUUUACGAAGAACAAAAUCGGAGUUUAUUGACGGUACUUGUCGCAAUGAAAAUUUUGGGACAAAUCUUCAUGAUCAAUGAGAAAGGUGCAAUGCUUUUGUUUUAUCAUGGAUUAUGAAUGCAGUAACAAAAGAGUUAUAUAGUAGUGUGGUUUAUGGAUCCUCUGCACAUAAUGUGUGGAAGGAUUUGAAGGAGAGAUUUGAUAAGAGGAACAUAUCGCGGAUCUAUAAUUUACUUCAGGAAAUUGGUGCUUUAAAGCACGGAUUAUCACCUGUAUCAACCUACUAUUCUAAACUCAAGGAUCUGUGGGAUGAGUAUGAUGUUAUGGCCCCCACUCCAUCAUGUCCAUGUCCAGAGUCGAAGGUGUUUCUAGAGCACAUUCAACAACAACGUUUGGUGCAAUUUUUAAGUGGACUGAACGAGUCAUUUGCCCAAGCAAAGGGCCAAAUCAUGCUUAUGAUUCCUACACUUACUAUCAAUGAGGCAUAUGGGAUGAGAGUCAACGAGCAAAGAUAAUGAAUAUUAGUGACUUGGAGAUAGGAGCAGCAGCUAUGGCACACAACUCAGGACAAGUUUUUUCUGGUGGCUACAAGCAGAAAGCUCAGGUAUUUUGUGAUUAUUGCAAACUUAAAGGACACACUAAAGAUGUUUGUUACAAGUUGGUAGGUUAUCCACCUGACUAUAAGCCAAAGAAAAGGCUUUUGGAAGAAACAUGGCAGCAACACACAAUGCACAAAUUGAUCAUUCAAAUGGAUCAACAGACCAAGGAAGUUCUAGUUCAAGGAUAGCAACUACAGGGAACUUCUUCACAGAGGAGCAGUAUAAACAACUACUUCAACUACUGAGCCAAAUUACAACACAUGUUGAAACAGCAGCACAUGCCAAGGUCACAAGUAUACCAUUAUCACUCUUAAGCAAAGCUAAGAAGGAUAAAUGGAUCAUAGACUCAGGUGACACUAAUCACAUGGUGUCUAGUUUGGACUUCUUUACUGAUUUUAUGGAGAUACCUAAAGGAGAAGGCAGGAAAGUGCAGCUGCCAACUGGUGAAACUAGUAGGAUUACACACCUAGAAUCUUCUAGUAUUCUCAAUGGUUUACCAAUUAAAAAUGUCCUAUAUGUGCCACAGUUUAGGUACAAUUUACUAUCUGUCUCACAACUUACAAGGGACAUUGGAUGUUUCAUUGCCUUCUUUCCUGCUUGGUGUGUCUUCCAGGACAUUUGCAAUGGGAAGGUGAAGGGGAUUGGUAAGCUGGAAGAAGAACUCUAUGUGUUGGAUCUCGAGCAAAAGUCAGAUCUCAAGUUGCCAAAUGGUGUUAUUACUUCUGCUUUAGUAAUAAAUAGAAUAAGUGGGUCUUUGUGGCAUAAAAGGUUAGGUCACAUUCCUUUAGAUGCUUUAAAGAGAUUACAUGCUUUUCACAACAAGACAUUUGUUGAUUGUAAUGAGUAUUGUCCAGUAUGUCCUUUAGCAAAGCAAACAAGAUUACCUUUUCCUAUUAGCAACAGUAGAUGUGAUGCAUUUGAUGACCUUAUACAUGCAGAUGUAUGGGGACCUUUUAAGGUUCCAACUUUUGAUGGUAAGAGAUAUUUCCUAACUCUAGUUGAUGAUUUCAGUAGGUAUAUAUGGAUCUGCCUCAUGAACACAAAAGAUGAAUCAGUUUUGGUUUUGAGACACUUUAUUUCACUUCUAAGAAAUAAGUUCUCCACUACUCCUAAAACACUAAGAACAGAUAAUGGAGGAGAGUUUUUUAACAAGGAGUUGACAGCCCUAUUGCAGUCUGAAGGGGUAGUAUAUCAAAGCUCCUGUCCAUACACUCCUCAACAAAAUGAAGUUGUUGAACGAAGGCAUAAGUACAUUUUGGACAUUGCACGAGCCUUGAGAUUCCAAUCUGGAUUGCCUUUAAAAUUUUGGGGUGAGUGUGUUUUAACAGCUGUUUAUUUGAUCCACGGAGUUCCUUCCAGAAUUUUAUCUGGUAAAUCACCUUUUGAGCUGGUAUUUCACAAAAAUGUCACCCUAGAUCAUCUCAGGAUGUUUGGUUGCCUUGCCUAUGCUGCAAAUCUUAAAAGACAACACAAAUUCUCACCUAGAGCAGUACCAGCUAUAUUCUUAGGGUACUCAUUGGUGCAAAAGGGUUACAAACUGUAUGACUUGCACAAUAACUGCCUUUUGUGAGUAUGGAUGUUGUCUUCAAGGAAGAUGUGUUUCCUUUUCUCCAGCACAUGAACAAUUCCAUGAAGGAUCAACACUUUCCUGUUAUGACUCCAUCAUAUGAUUCUGAUUCUGCUGAUCUUGUAUUGCCUUUACCUCAGCAUUCCAUCACAUCACAAGAUACUUUAUCAUCUGAUUUGGGACACCAAGAUGAUUCUCUUGCUAUCACUGAAGAUCUUCAAGGCAAUUCUAUAAGUACUGAUGACCUCCCAUUUCCAGAUGAUCUUCCAAGCAGUCCUGCCCAUCAUACUACUGCAGUUUCACUUCCUGAGGUUCUUCCUCAUCUGUUGCUGGUGACUUACCAGCUAUUGGAAUCAGGAAAUCCACUAGGCCUUCUAGGCCUCCUAUAUGGAUGAAUGACUAUGUGGUUGAUGAAAAUCCUGGAAAGCCUUGCAAUUAUCCUAUUGCUAAUUCUAUUAGUUAUCAAGCAUUGAAGCCUGCCUACAGUCAAUGUCUUGCAGCUUACUCAGCAAAGGUUGAACCUAGUUCUUUCUCAGAAGCAACUAAGGAUCCUAAAUGGGUGUCAGCAAUGCAUCAAGAACUUCAAGCCUUGGAAGACAAUGACACUUGGAGAAUAGUUCCUUUACCUCCUGGAAAGAAACCAAUUGGAUGCAAAUGGGUGUUCAAGAUCAAACAUAAAGCUAAUGGAGAAGUUUAAAGGUAUAAGACCCGACUUGUGGCUAAGGGAUACACACAACAAGAGGGGUUGGAUUAUACAAAUACUUUUUCACCUGUAGCAAAAAUGGUCACAGUCAGGACCAUCAUUGCCCUAGCUGCUCAUCAUGGUUGGUUUAUCUACCAAAUGGAUAUUCAUAAUGCCUUUCUUCAGGGUGAUCUCCUGGAAGAAGUGUACAUGACCAUUCCUCCUAGUUUUCCUUAUAACACUACAAGGCAGGGGGAGUAUUCAUCUUCUGUUUGUAAACUUCACAAGUCCUUAUAUGGACUCAAACGGGCUUCCAGGCAAUGAAAUCUUAAGCUCACAGAUGCCUUACAUAUAAUGGGGUUCACAUAAAGUCACUAUGAUUACUCUCUUUUCAGUAAAAGAGAAGGUUGUAAUCAAGUACUAGUUCUCAUCUAUGUAGAUGACUUAUUAGUCUCUGGUAAUGAUGUUAAGUUGAUUAACAAAACUAGAGCAGAUUUGCAGAAAUUCUUCAAGAUAAAGGACCUGGGAGAGCUGAAGUUUUUUCUUGGGAUUGAAUUUGCAAGAUCCUCUAAAGGGGUAUAUAUAAGCCAAAGAAAAUAUGCUCUAGAGUUGAUAGCUGAACUUGGCCUAGCAGGAUCAAAACCAGCUAGUACUCCUCUAGAAGUCAAUCAGAAGUUAACUAUUGUGGAGUUUGACAAAGCAAUAACACUUGUUGUUGAUAAUGAUCUUGUCUUAAGAGAUGCAAGUGUGUAUCAAAGGCUUGUUGGCAGACUGUUGUACCUGAUAAUGACUCGGACAAGCAUCUCUUAUGUUGUACAAACACUUAGUCAAUUCAUGCAUAAACAAUCACAUUUAAAUGCUGCCAUCAGAGUGGUAAGGUAUAUUAAGACUCCUCCAGGUCAAGGUCUAUUGCUACCAGCAGAAGGAGAUGAACAACUAUUAUCAUAUUGUGAUGCGGAUUGGGGUGCAUGCUUGCAUACAAGAAGGCCUGUUACAGGCUAUCUAGUAUUCUAUGGUAAUGUCUUGAUUUCUUGGAAGUCGAAGAAAUAAGAAACAGUUGCAAGAAGUUCAGUAGAAGCAGAAUUUCGAAGUAUGGCUUCAGCAGCAACAGAGAUAGUGUGACUGAGAGGCUUGUUCAAUGAACUUGGCUUUGAGAUUAAGAGGCCAGUCACCUUGAUGUGUGAUAGUAAGGCAACAAUACAAAUUGCAUCCAAUACUAUAUUCCAUGAACAUACAAAGCACAUAGACAUCGAUUGUCAUUUUAUUAGGGAAAAGGUGAAAGCUGAAUCUAUCGAAACGGUGCAUGCCAACACUAAGGAGCAGAUUGUAGACAUUUUGACGAAAGGGCUGGGAAGAACUCAACAUGAUUAUCUACUUGGCAAGCUAGGAGUGAAGAAUCUGUUUCUCCCCUCUAGCUUGAGGGGGAGUAUUGAACCAACAUAGAUAAUACAUUAGUUUAGGGGUUAAAGUGUAAAAAUAGAAACUUGUAACUUAAUCUCAAUUAGUCGGUUAUCAAUGUAUAUAUAGGUUAGCUUCUUCAUUUUAGAAUAGAUCGGUUCCUUCUUCUUCACAGUUAUAUGUGUCACACCUCCUUUUUCCUACCCCUCGUAAAGGGGUAUAAGGGAGUUUUUUUCAACUAAAGUGACAAUCGAAACGAGAUUAUUUUAUUUAAAAAUUCAGAGUCGCCACUUGGGAAAUUUAUGGUGUACCAAGUCACCGGUUCCAAUCCCGAAUCGAGGAAAACAUUGACUCUGUUUCACAGUCCGCGAACCAGAAAUCCGGGUAAGGAAUUCUGUUAACUCGGAAUAAGGUGUUAGGCACUCCCGAGUUCCAUGGUUCUAGCACCGUCGCUCAACUGUUAUAUUCGGCUUAACUAUUUGAUUUUAACACAUGUUUUGGCUUAUGGUUCAAUUUCAACUUUAACCGCUUUUAUUCAUUUUUCAGAAGAUUACAACGUUAUUAAAACAUGUCUCGAACCACGUCACAUAAAUGCACCCGCGGUCUUGACAUAUUUUAACAUUGUUGAGAUUUUGGAUUUGGGUCACAUAAAUGCGCACCCGAAUUUAGGAAGGUAAUUUUUAAAAUAGCGCGCCUAAAGCAACUACGCACUUUCAAGUUUGCGAGGGCCAUGAAAAUUUUAACUAAUGGCACACCUCGAUUCUAAUUCAAAGGAUCUUAAUUACAUCACGCGAACGUGUACAUAAUCACGGUGAUACAUUACACGUGCCUGAAGCAAGCUACGAAUACAUGAAUAGUUAAAUUCUAACUUCUGAGUUCGAGAUUGAAUGUGAUAUGCUCAGAGACUAACAAUGAUAGUUGCAAUUUGAUUAACAGGGUAAGUAAGAUAAAAAUUCCCAACAUACAAAUCCUUACUUUCCAACACUAAGCUAUAAAAACGAGCAAUAACUGGAAGGUCAUAACAACAAGUUAUUUUUUUCUUUCUAAUUCCAAUAUACUACUUCUAUUGAGUAUUAUUAUUGUUGAAAGCCAAUUCAAGGGAAACUAUUACUAUCAUUAUCAUCAAGUGAAGUUCUUAGAUAUCAAUUCCAGCAAAUUACAACGAUAGAAAACAAAUAAAAGCAAGAAACACAAAACCCAAAAUUCAAGACUAAAUCAAAAUCAUAAUACAAACGGUCAAUGGCAAUAAGAGCAGGAAUUGAGGCGAACUGAAUAUAACACAAUGCAGAAAAUACCAAUUCAAGAAUGAUAUGAAAAAAGUCUGAAUUUGACUACUUUCGAACCACAUUAACGAAGCAAAACUCGGACAGACCUGACUGGGAACCUCAACGAAAUAAACUCGACUCUUCAGCGAUGAUUGAAACCGGAUCGGACUGAACUCAACAACGAGUUCAACAAUCAACAACAGCAAAUUUUCGACCUCAACAACUUUUGGGAACAGAUCGUGACUGAGAUUUUCGAAUGGCAGAAUUUCGAUAUCAGUCGCUUCUGUCCGUCUUUUCUUUGAGUGUAUUCGUCGCUGCCGGUUAUUGUGAGAGAUGGGAGCUUCGUUUGGUUUCUGUUAAGAAGAUGAAAGGCUGUAUCGGGUUGAAGAGAAAGGGUCAGGGGUGUGAGUGAAGAAGAAGUUUAGGGGGUCGUUUGGGUGGGGAUCAAGAAGAUGAGGUCGUGAGGGGGGGUCCUUGAUGAAAGCUGCACAGCUUUUUCUUGUAUCCCCCCAGCGUUCUUCUUCUUUUUUUAUUUUUUAAGCAUUAAUUUAUAGGUAGUGUCUAGGUUUAGGU
rnacentral:lncRNA from 1 species